rnacentral:SRP_RNA from 1 species
GCCAGGCACGGUGGCGCGUUCCUGCAGUCCCAGCUACUCGGGAAGCUGAGGUGGGAGGAUCGCUUGAGCCCACGAGUUCUGGGCUGUAGUGCGCUAUGCCGAUUGGGUGUCCGCACUGAGUUUAACAUCAAUAUGGUGACCUCCCGGGAGCGGGGGACCACCGGGUUGCCUAAGGAGGGGUGAACCGGCCCAGGUCGGAAACGGAGCAGGUCAAAACUCCCGGUGCUGAUCAGUAGUGGGAUCGUGCCUGUGAAUAGCCACUGUACUCCAGCCGGGGCAACGUAGCAAGACCCCGUCUCU